CUCAAAGGUUACAUUCAACCAGCGUGAUAUGUGCAACAGCGCAUUCCUUUUCUCAGUCUUGGUCUUCAAGGGUUACAUUCAACCAGCGUCAUAUUUGCAACAUCGCAUUCCUUUUGUGAGUCUUGAGUAAGAGCCUUCAAGCGUUACAUUGAAGCAGCGUCAUAUCUGCAACAGCGCAUUCCUUUUCUCCUUUUCUCAGUCUUGACUAAGUUCUUCUUCCAGAGCCUUUAAGGGUUAUAUUCAACCAGCGUCAAAUUUGCAACAGCGCAUUCCUUUUCUCAGUCCUCAGUAAGCCUUCAAUGGUUAUGUUCGAGCAGCGUCAGAUGGGCAACAGAGCAUUCCUUUUCCCAGGCUCAACUUUCAAUGGUUACGUUGAAGCAGCGUCAUAUGUGCAACAGCGCAUUUCUUUUCUCAGUCUGGAGUAAGGCCUCAAUGGUUACCUUCAAGCAGCGUUGUAUGUGCAACAGCGCAUUCCUUUUCCCAGUCUUGAGUAAGAGCCGUCAGUGGUUGCAUUCAAGCCACGUCAUAUGUGCAACAGCUCAUUGCUUUACUCAAUCUUGAGUGAGGGCUUUGAAGGGUUACGUUCAACUAGCGUCAUAUCUGCAACAGCGCAUUCCUUUACUCAGUCUUGAGUAAGAAACUUCAUAGGUAACAUUCAAGCACCAUCAUAUGUGCAACAGGCAUUCUUUUUUCAGUCUUGAGUAAGAGCCUUCAAGGGUUACAUUCAAGCAGCGUCAUAUGCGUAAUAGCGCAUUCUUUUUCUCUGUCUUGAGUAAGGUAUAUCUGAAUGGGUCAGCUGUUGUGUAUCAGUCACAAAUGAGCUGUUCUUCUUCGAUACCUUCAAGGGUUACAUUCAAGCGGCGUCAUGUGUGUAACAGCGCAUUCCUUUUCCCAGUCUUGAGUAAUAUAAAUCUAAAUCUGUCAGCUGUUGUAUUUCGGUCACAAAUGAACUGUUCUUCCAGAGCCUUCAAGGGUUACGUUCAAGCGGCAUCAUAUGUGCUGCAGCGCAUUGGUUUUCUCAGUGUUGAGUAGAGUAAACCUAAAUGUUACAGAUGUUGUGUAUUAGACACAAAUGAACUGUUUUUCUUCCAAAUCCUUCAAGGGUUACAUCCAAGGAGCGUCACAUGUGCAACCGCGCGUUCCUUUUCUCAGUCUUGACUAAGAGCCUUCAAGGGUUACAUUCAACCAGCGUCAUAUUUGCAACAGCGCAUUCGUUUUCUCAGUCCUGAGUAAGAGCCUCCAAGGGGUUACAUUCAUCCAGCAUCAUAUGUGCAACAGCGCAUUCGUUUUCUCAGUCCUG